rfam:Pan troglodytes isolate Yerkes chimp pedigree #C0471 (Clint) chromosome 2B, whole genome shotgun sequence.
UUUUUAGUAUAAGUAUGCCCUAUGUAAUAUUUAGAACAUACUUACACUAAAA